AGUUAACAUUUAAAAUUAUGUCUUGAAAACAUAAAAAAAAAUUAAUAUUUUAUUAACUU
rnacentral:tRNA from 1 species